rnacentral:rRNA from 1 species
AGAGAAGCAAUGCGGUGACGCAAAGCGGAACUUGAAAGCCUGUCUCAGUUCGGAUUGGAGUCUGCAACUCGACUCCAUGAAGCUGGAUUCGCUAGUAAUCGCGCAUCAGCCAUGGCGCGGUGAAUACGUUCCCGGGCCUUGUACACACCGCCCGUCAAGCCAUGGGAGCCGGGGGCGCCUGAAGUCCGGGACCGCGAGGACCGGCCUAGGGCGAAACUGGUAACUGGGGCUAAGUCGUAACAAGGUAAC